rnacentral:lncRNA from 10 species
CCAUUAGUCCAGGCCAACCUUUGGCAAUCCUUUAUAUUCUGUGUGGUCAAAUGACUCAGUUCUGGUCACUGAGAUCUCAGGGGGCAUUUUUAGUGGGGGAUCUGGAAAGAUUUUCUUCCUUGAUGAAAGGAAGAGCAAUGCAAGGAAGAAGACUUUUGUCCCCUUUCCUCUCUUCCUGUGUCUUCCACAUCUGAACCAGUGGCUGGCACAUAACAGACACUCAACAAAUACUUUGUUGAGUGAGUGA